UAGGGAAUCUUCCACAAUGGGCGAAAGCCUGAUGGAGCGACGCCGCGUGUGUGAUGAAGGGUUUCGGCUCGUAAAACACUGUUGUAAGAGAAGAAUGACAUUGAGAGUAACUGUUCAAUGUGUGACGGUAUCUUACCAGAAAGGAACGGCUAAAUACGUGCCA
rnacentral:rRNA from 1 species